rnacentral:rRNA from 1 species
GAUGAACGCUGGCGGCGUGCCUAAUACAUGCAAGUCGAGCGAACAGACGAGGCUCUUUCUCCUCUUACGUUAUCGGCUGACGGGUGAGUAACACGUGUAUAACCUACCUAUAAUACUGGGAUAACUUCGUGAAACCGUAUCUAAUACCGGAUAAUAUAUUUAACCGCAUGUUUCAAUAUUUAAUGACUUUUUUUCUGUCUCUUAUAUAUGGAUCCGCGCCGAAUUAGCUAGUUGGUAAGGUAACGGCUUACCAAGGCAACGAUGCGUAGAAGACGUGAGAGGGUGAUCGGCAAAACUGGAACUGAGACACGGUAAAGACUAAUACGGGAGGAAGCAGAAGGGAAUCUGCCGAAAUGGGCGAAAGAAUGACGGAGAAAAGCCGAGUGAGUGAUGAAGGUCUUCGGAUCGUAAAAAUCUGUUAUUAGGGAAGAAAAAAUGUGUAAGUAAAUAUGCACGGCUUGACGGUAACUAAUAAGAAAGCAACGGCUAACUACGUG